rnacentral:ncRNA from 2 species
CGGGACUCAACGGGGUGUCCUUCAGGGGCUGAGACCAUACCCGCGGAACCUGAUCCUGAUCAUGCUGGCGAAGGAAUUGAGUGCACACCCUUA